GCACGUCGUUGCCCUCUGGCUCGAGCAGCACCGUGGCGCUCAGACACCUCAAGAGGUGCUCAAUGUUGCCUUGCGGAUGCAACACAAAGGUGCACCCAUCACCUAUGAUGGUAGCCAAGUGCUAUCUUGUGCAUGCA